rnacentral:rRNA from 1 species
UAGGGAAUCUUCCGCAAUGGACGCAAGUCUGACGGAGCAACGCCGCGUGAGUGAAGAAGGAUUUCGGUUCGUAAAACUCUGUUGUUAGAGAAGAACAGCGCAUAGAGUAACUGUUAUGCGUGUGACGGUAUCUAACCAGAAAGCCACGGCUAACUACGUGCCAGCAGCCGCGGUAAUACGUAGGUGGCAAGCGUUGUCCGGAUUUAUUGGGCGUAAAGCGAGCGCAGGCGGUCAAUUAAGUCUGAUGUGAAAGCUCCCGGCUCAACCGGGGUGGGUCAGUAGGAGCUGGUUGACUUGAGUGCAGAAGAGGAGAGUGGAAUUCCAUGUGUAGCGGUGAAAUGCGUAGAUAUAUGGAGGAACACCAGUGGCGAAGGCGACUCUCUGGUCUGUAACUGACGCUGAGGUUCGAAAGCGUGGGUAGCAAACAGG